AGCGGGGAAGGUUGCUUCGGUAACUAACCUAGCGGCGGACGGGUGAGUAAUGCUUAGGAAUCUGCCUAUUAGUGGGGGACAACAUUCCGAAAGGAAUGCUAAUACCGCAUACGCCCUACGGGGGAAAGCAGGGGAUCUUCGGACCUUGCGCUAAUAGAUGAGCCUAAGUCGGAUUAGCUAGUUGGUGGGGUAAGGGCCUACCAAGGCGACGAUCUGUAGCGGGUCUGAGAGGAUGAUCCGCCACACUGGGACUGAGACACGGCCCAGACUCCUACGGGAGGCAGCAGUGGGGAAUAUUGGACAAUGGGCGGAAGCCUGAUCCAGCCAUGCCGCGUGUGUGAAGAAGGCCUUUUGGUUGUAAAGCACUUUAAGCGAGGAGGAGGCUCCUUUAGUUAAUACCUAAAGUGAGUGGACGUUACUCGCAGAAUAAGCACCGGCUAACUCUGUGCCAGCAGCCGCGGUAAUACAGAGGGUGCGAGCGUUAAUCGGAUUUACUGGGCGUAAAGCGUGCGUAGGCGGCUUUUUAAGUCGGAUGUGAAAUCCCUGAGCUUAACUUAGGAAUUGCAUUCGAUACUGGAAA
rnacentral:rRNA from 1 species